rnacentral:misc_RNA from 1 species
GAUGAAGAACGCUAGCGAAAUGCGAUAAGUAAUGUGAAUUGCAGAAUUCAGUGAAUCAUCGAAUCUUUGAACGCACAUUGCGCCCGCCAGUAUUCUGGCGGGCAUGCCUGUCUGAGCGUCAUUUCAACCCUCAUGCCCCUAGGGCGUGGUGUUGGGGAUCGGCCAAAGCCCGCGAGGGACGGCCGGCCCCUAAAUCUAGUGGCGGACCCGUCGUGGCCUCCUCUGCGAAGUAGUGAUAUUCCGCAUCGGAGAGCGACGAGCCCCUGCCGUUAAACCCCCAACUUUCCAAGGUUGACCUCAGAUCAGGUAGGAAUACCCGCUGAACUUAAGCAUAUCAAUAAGCGGAGGA